rnacentral:lncRNA from 1 species
CACCUCUGAAAGUACUAAGGAAGUUCCCUCCCAGUGCCUACCGAGGCAGGGUGGGGCGGUUCUGUGGCAUGGAAAGAACCUGGAAAACCACAUAGUCCCAGCAUAAAGUGCCUUUGCGAUUCCGGGAGGGGGGAGGGAUGGUGAGAUGAAGACACCAGGUCCGGUACCCUGAGGUUCCGGGUGUCCUGGAGGGAGAACUCUUGAGAUAACCUGCUCCGUGAAGCCACCUUACUUUGUCCUGGUCUGUCUUCCCCUGUGCAGCGGCUGCAUAGGGACGUCCUUCUCGGAGGAGUCCCCGAAAUAAGAUGGGCUAUCCUCGCUCUAGAUCGGAGCGGGCGAGUUCCUCCCGCUGCCCCGCCACUGCGGUUUGCGGAGGUCUAGGGAGUUUCAUCCCGUCCUCCGUCCUCAGCCUUCACCUUGGAAAACAGUUUCCCAAGCGUCCACAUUAAAAGUGCGCGACUUCUCGAGGCCUGCAGAAGGAGCUCCUGCAGCCCGGCAUUCCUCGGAUUCCAGCGCUGUGACGUCCCCAAGGCCGGCGCGCCUCCCGCCGGGGACCUCCGGCUCCACGCGCAGCCGCUCCCCCCGCCCCGGCGCGCUCCCGGCC